ensembl:snRNA U6 U6 spliceosomal RNA
UGCUCACUUCAGCAACACAUUUACAUUGCAAUGAUACAGAGAAGACUAGCAUGGCCACCGUGCAAAGAUAACACGCAAAUUCAUGAAGUGUUCUAUAUUUUU